rnacentral:rRNA from 1 species
CGUUGGUGACAGCGGAGGGAUCAUUACCGAGUUUACAACUCCCAAACCCCUGUGAACAUACCACUUGUUGCCUCGGCGGAUCAGCCCGCUCCCGGUAAAACGGGACGGCCCGCCAGAGGACCCCUAAACUCUGUUUCUAUAUGUAACUUCUGAGUAAAACCAUAAAUAAAUCAAAACUUUCAACAACGGAUCUCUUGGUUCUGGCAUCGAUGAAGAACGCAGCAAAAUGCGAUAAGUAAUGUGAAUUGCAGAAUUCAGUGAAUCAUCGAAUCUUUGAACGCACAUUGCGCCCGCCAGUAUUCUGGCGGGCAUGCCUGUUCGAGCGUCAUUUCAACCCUCAAGCACAGCUUGGUGUUGGGACUCGCGUUAAUUCGCGUUCCUCAAAUUGAUUGGCGGUCACGUCGAGCUUCCAUAGCGUAGUAGUAAAACCCUCGUUACUGGUAAUCGUCGCGGCCACGCCGUUAAACCCCAACUUCUGAAUGUUGACCUCGGAUCAGGUAGGAAUACCCGCUGAACUUAAGCAUAUCAAUAAGCGGAGGA